rnacentral:rRNA from 1 species
UACGGAGGGGGCUAGCGUUGUUCGGAAUUACUGGGCGUAAGGCGCACGUAGGCGGCUUUGUAAGUUAGAGGUGAAAGCCCGGGGCUCAACUCCGGAAUUGCCUUUAAGACUGCAUCGCUAGAACGUCGGAGAGGUAAGUGGAAUUCCGAGUGUAGAGGUGAAAUUCGUAGAUAUUCGGAAGAACACCAGUGGCGAAGGCGACUUACUGGACGACUGUUGACGCCGAGGUGCGAAAGCGUGGGGAGCAAACAGG